CGGGGGAGGGGGGACUCCUACGGGAGGCAGCAGUAGGGAAUCUUCCGCAAUGGACGAAAGUCUGACGGAGCAACGCCGCGUGAGUGAAGAAGGUUUUCGGAUCGUAAAACUCUGUUGUUAAAGAAAAACAAGGAUGAGAGUAACUGCUCAUCCCCUGACGGUAUUUAACCAGAAAGCCACGGCUAACUACGUG
rnacentral:rRNA from 1 species